AGCUGGUCUUGGGGCUUCAGCCUGGGAGAGGUGGGGAGGGGGAGGAGCAAGGAGCGGGAUGAGUCCCCGGCACAUCAGCAGGUGUUGGGGACCCUGGGAAGCUGCGGCAGCACGCUGACCCUCAGGAGGCUGAGCUCCGGUGGAGCCCCCAGCCCCACACCCCAAUGCUGCGGUCUGGAUGAGGCCAGCUUGGAGCCUUAGGCAGGUGGGAGGGCCCAUGGGAGGAAUCCCGGUCACUGGGGGGUGCUCUUGAAGGGCACCGAGGUGUCUCCCUCUUUCACCUCCUUCCAUGGAGUGCCCGGUUGGCUCUGCACGGCAGACCCACAGCCACAGGGCCACCUGUCAUGGGCUGCACACUCCGGGACUCAGUCUAGCAGGCCUUGCCUUUAAGCUCCUCAGCUCAGGGAUCUGCUGACGUGACGGGAGCCGACCAGCACAUCAGCUUGCGCUCGCUGCCACCAUCUGAGCUCCGACCUCAUGGUGGGCCCCUUGGAAGGUCCCACAGGAGGAGCCCGGCUUCUUCUUCAGAGCUGGGUUCCAGCAGGGCACCAGGCCAAGUUCAGGAACUGUGCUGGCUGGCCCCCAGGAAGGCCCCAAGGAUCUCCACCAGUACCCGCCCUUGUGCCCUGCCACUCCACACGAGCAGCACCCAGCAGAACCUUCUGGAUUGCGUUAUAAAAACACUCACUCUGUCUUACACACCCCCUUGCUUUUUGCCUCUUUCUCGGAGUCUAGCUGCCUUGUAAGGAAGUCUAGACCCCUCUGUUGGAGAGGACUCGUGAAGCAGGGAGACCCUGGAGGAUAAGCAGCUGCCUGGAGCACAGAGCGAGCCUCCUCGGGAGCAGUUACCAUUUGGGGAUGUUUGUUACACAGCACUAGAUACUGCAGUCAGUGACGAGAGCCGAGUGGAGGUCAAUGCUCUGGGAGGGGGGACAUGGGA
rnacentral:lncRNA from 1 species